AUGCGAGCAAGGGACGACGCGCCAAUGGAGAGUAGGAUGAUCGCUGCCGCCCGUCGCUUCUUCUUCUUCGACUCGUCUUCUUCCUCGCUUCUGCUCUGCCUCCUGCUCUCGCUCCUCUCAGCCAACAAUGGCAUUGUAUCGGCGGCGACGGCGCCACUCAAGUUCGGCAUCAACUACGGCCAGAUAGCGAACAACCUCCCGCACCCGGCGCAGGUGUCCGGCCUCCUCCGGUCGCUUAACGUCAACAGGGUCAAACUCUACGACGCCGACCCGGCCGUCCUCACGGCCUUCGCCGGCACAGGCGUCGAGUUCACCAUCAGUAACGGGGAUCUCCUCAACAUGUCCGACGCCCGCAACGCGCGCGCCUGGGUGGCGCAGAACGUCCAGCCCUUCCUCCCGGACACCCGCAUCACCUGCGUCAUCCUCGGCAACGAGGUGCUCUCCGGCACCGACGCGGCCGCCAUGCAGAGCCUCCUCCCCGCCAUGCAGGCCGUGCACCAGGCGCUGGUGGACCUGGGCCUCGACGGCCAGGUGAACGUGUCGACGUCCCAGUCCGUCAACGUGCUCGCCAACAGCUACCCGCCGUCGGCUGGCGUGUUCCGGGAGGACCUCGCGCAGUACAUGCGGCCGCUGCUGGACUUCCUCGCCGAGGUCGGCUCGCCGUUCCUGAUCAACGCGUACCCGUUCUUCGCCUACAAGGCCAGCCCCGGGAGCGUGUCGCUGCCGUACGUGCUGUUCGAGCCCAACCCCGGCGCGCAUGACCCCGGCACCAACCUCACCUACGACAACAUGCUCUACGCCCAGAUCGACGCCGUGUACGCGGCCAUGGAGGCCAUGGGGCACAAGGACAUCGCCGUGCGGAUCUCUGAGACCGGGUGGCCGUCCGCGGGGGACGCCGACGAGGUGGGCGCCACUAUACAGAAUGCCGCCACCUACAAUGGGAACCUGAUGAAGAGGGUCGCGGCGGGCCAGGGGACGCCGCUCAGGCCGGAUGUGCCCGUGGACGUGCUCGUCUUCGCCCUCUUCAACGAGAACAUGAAGACCGGGCAGGCAUCCGAGAGGAACUACGGGCUGUUCUACCCCAACGGCACGUCGGUGUACGACCUCGGGUUCGGCGGGGCGUCGUUCGGCCCGUCGUCGCCGACGGCGUCGGGGUUCUCCGCUUCUUCCAAGCCGACGUUGCAGAUGCCUUUUCCGGUCGGGGUGGUUGUCCUGCUUGCAGCAUUUCUCUUGUAA
rnacentral:rRNA from 1 species